CAGUCCUCAACCUCCAUCACGUUUGGUCGGAAUGGCAUCGUCGGGUCGAGUGGAUAUGUUACCUUGUCGAUUAUCUCUGCAUUCAAACGUGAGUCAUAAAAACGGAGUCCCAUUAAGUCGGACGAGCGCCGGAUUAAUGCUACCCAGGAAUCCGCGCAAAAUGACAAUAACAACUGGAGUACCUGCCAUUGGACACUGGGGCAAAAACAAACGGGCUUCUUCAGCGGCCUGAAAGGUACACCUGUUCGUGGUGUGAGCUUUAGAGGCACGUCAACAUGAGGAUUUGCAUUUAAGAAGAGCCUGUCACCGAGAAGACGACGGACGAUUUGGCCUCUGCCCACUUCAGACUGAUGGAGUAGACACGAUUGGCAUACGAGGAUGCCCGAGUUGGAGCCUUCCAAAACCUUGACACUGCUGCAUCAUUUCCAACCACACAGACAAAGACAAAGGAAAGAAGCAAAACUUUGUCGCUGGCUUCUGCUUCAGGGAGUAUGGAUAGAAAGGGCUUUAUGUUAAUUAAUCAGGGACUUAAUUUCUGAAAUGAAAACCGCAGCUACGGCUGCAAGAAUAGCCUGAAACAUUGUAAUCUGUUUACACUACACUUAAGAUUAUUCGCCUGUGAUCACAAGCAAGAAAGUAACCAGUGUAUGGGAUGAAAUAAUUUUUUUUUUACAAACGCAAAGGCUUAUUAAUGAUGGUUUACUUUAUUUGAUAUCGCACAUUAGUUACAGUUUCAAAUCUAAAGAAUACUUUCAACACGUAGUGCUUGAAAACUGAAUACUAUUUCAAUUAUAUAAUACUUCCAGCCUUAACACAAUAUUAGCUCUCCAGUAUGUGUAAAGUUAUGUGGACAAACAAGGGUGAACGUGUUUUAAUCAACACAACUUUGUGGAGCUCAACAGCGGCGCCCUUGCUGAGCUCCUUAUUGCCAUAGAGCAAAUCUCAUGGAAGCGAUUUGUUUCAGCCAUAAAUGCCUAUUGUGCACACGACGAAAGGCGUUUUGCCCCGGGUUUACUGCAGCAUGUAAAGCCAGUGCAUAACACAUUCCAACGUCUGUGCGUGCUGAAUGUAGACAACUUGUUACACACCACCUCAUUUCGAGUAUAUCCUGUGCAUAGGCCAAGAACGAACAUGCUCGCAGUCUAUUUGCUAACAAGUUUUAUAUUUCAUAUAUUCUCAUUUAUAACUUGGCUACAUUUUGCCCCUUUCUAUCAUACUUUCAUAGUCCUCAGUCGUCGAAGUUGGAAAAGCACGAUAUUAGACUGCCACUUCAUCUAACACUACCUCUACUGCUGACUGGAUAGCUUGGUUUUUCGGAAAUUUCGACUGGCUUAUCUUCUCUACAGUAAAGUCUACUUGGGUAGAUGCCUCAACUGAAGAAGCGUAUCCUCAGAAAAGACCUUUACUGGUAUAUGUUGCUCAGAAAUGGACAUUUCUUCUCGUCACAGGUAUUUCAGUAGCCCAUAUUAAACUGCACGUAUUUUAGUCCUCGUUUCCUCAUAAGAAGAACAUACACUCCAGACGUCAUUUUCGUGGUUGCGUAUAACGUGUGCACAUAGAGCAGUUUUUUGAAUGAAAUUUCUUCAAGCAAGGCUGGACAUUUUUGCACAUCCCGCCCAUACGUUCACUUUCCCCCAUCAACACGAAUUUCGUACGUUUUAUAUGAAACCACCCUGAAUUAGAAACAAUUUUCUGACGUCAUGAUGACGUCAUCAGGUAUAAGCUUACAUGGUGAGCUAAAAAGUACUCUCCUGGAGUUUAGUUUUUAUAGAGCCAUUUAGUUGCGAGUUUCAACCGUUUUGACCAAAGCACCGGAAAUUUAGUGUGGCGAAUUUCACAUAUUAAUACAAGUUCAUAUUCAAACAAACUAUCUUCGAAACUGCAGUAAGAACAGUGCAACGAACAGCUAUAUGACCUACUAAGGUGCCUUACACGAAAUUCCAUGUUAAACAAAAAACUCAUUGAAGAGAAGUUUCCGUCAUGAUAGAAAGUGAAGGUCACGUGACCUCUACUUCUGGAUUCAUCGAAAUUCCAAUGAUAGGUCUAGCUCGAAACUGGUAUUUUUUUUAAUCAAUGAAAAUUAUUCCAUAUUCUGCAAAUUUGGUCUCAAAAUCAAAAACGAUUUUGAAGCCUUCGCCUGCAAGCUAAAUCUGUUCAAAGUCUACAUUGAGCAUGGGCACUCAAAAAUGAAGUACUUACUAAAGUUUCAUUAUCACAAAACGGAUGUUUAGCAUAAAACAAGUGUAAACAAGAUCUCCUUAUGCCAGUGCUGUUACGUCGUUAAAUAGAAGCACCAUUAGCUUCGUCGGUCAUAGUAUGUAUAUCAAACUCAGAGAAUAACCAAAAGUGGCUGCCGAACAAACGUACCCAAUUUUAGACAAAAGCAAAACCAAAAGUUCUUUCAACUUAAAAAAACAAAAGACGACUAAACUUACUAGAAAAAUGUGUAAGCCCUUUCGAUGACCCAUUUCUUCGUGUGUACAUUUGCGUUUAUUAAUAGAGGGUUCAUUUUGAAGGUUAAUCAGUACAGUUCCGAAUACCAAGGGGGAAGAAUUAAACCUUUCUUAUGUGGAUGUCGGAAUGAACUUUUAAGACAUUUAAAGGAACCAGGAAAUGAAUUUUUCUUAGAAUCACUUUUUGUAUAUCUCUGUACUCUUCUUCCG